rnacentral:rRNA from 1 species
GACGAACGCUGGCGGCGUGCUUAACACAUGCAAGUCGAACGGAAAGGCCCUGCUUUUGUGGGGUGCUCGAGUGGCGAACGGGUGAGUAACACGUGAGUAACCUGCCCUUGACUUUGGGAUAACUUCAGGAAACUGGGGCUAAUACCGGAUAGGAGCUCCUGCUGCAUGGUGGGGGUUGGAAAGUUUCGGCGGUUGGGGAUGGACUCGCGGCUUAUCAGCUUGUUGGUGGGGUAGUGGCUUACCAAGGCUUUGACGGGUAGCCGGCCUGAGAGGGUGACCGGCCCCAUUGGGACUGGGAUACGGCCCAGACUCCUACGGGAGGCAGCAGUGGGGAAUAUUGCACAAGGGGCGGAAGCCUGAUGCAGCAACGCCGCGUGCGGGAUGACGGCCUUCGGGUUGUAAUCCGCUUUCGCCUGUGACGAGGCGUGAGUGACGGUAAUGGAUAAAGAAGCACCGGCUAACUACGUG